GAUGAACGCUGGCGGCGUGCCUAAUACAUGCAAGUCGAGCGAACAGACGAGGAGCUUGCUCCUCUGACGUUAGCGGCGGACGGGUGAGUAACACGUGGAUAACCUACCUAUAAGACUGGGAUAACUUCGGGAAACCGGAGCUAAUACCGGAUAAUAUAUUGAACCGCAUGGUUCAAUAGUGAAAGUCGGUUUUGCUGUCACUUAUAGAUGGAUCCGCGCCGCAUUAGCUAGUUGGUAAGGUAACGGCUUACCAAGGCAACGAUGCGUAGCCGACCUGAGAGGGUGAUCGGCCACACUGGAACUGAGACACGGUCCAGACUCCUACGGGAGGCAGCAGUAGGGAAUCUUCCGCAAUGGGCGAAAGCCUGACGGAGCAACGCCGCGUGAAUGAUGAAGGUCUUCGGAUCGUAAAACUCUGUUAUUAGGGAAGAACAAAUGUGUAAGUAACUAUGCACGUCUUGACGGUACCUAAUCAGAAAGCCACGGCUAACUACGUG
rnacentral:rRNA from 1 species